rnacentral:tRNA from 1 species
GGGGUUGUGGCUCAGUGGCAGAGCACUUGUCUUGUACAGGUGAGGCACUGGGUUCGAUCCUCAACACCA